GAUUAAAGUAAUGAGCUCUUAACUCAUAAUAUAGUAAAAUUUUACUUUCAAUGAAUAAUCUAGUU
rnacentral:tRNA from 1 species